UGGGGAAUAUUGCACAAUGGGCGCAAGCCUGAUGCAGCCAUGCCGCGUGUAUGAAGAAGGCCUUCGGGUUGUAAAGUACUUUCAGCGGGGAGGAAGGCGAUAAGGUUAAUAACCUUGUCGAUUGACGUUACCCGCAGAAGAAGCACCGGCUAACUCCGUGCCAGCAGCCGCGGUAAUACGGAGGGUGCAAGCGUUAAUCGGAAUUACUGGGCGUAAAGCGCACGCAGGCGGUCUGUCAAGUCGGAUGUGAAAUCCCCGGGCUCAACCUGGGAACUGCAUUCGAAACUGGCAGGCUAGAGUCUUGUAGAGGGGGGUAGAAUUCCAGGUGUAGCGGUGAAAUGCGUAGAGAUCUGGAGGAAUACCGGUGGCGAAGGCGGCCCCCUGGACAAAGUCUGACGCUCAGGUGCGAAAGCGUGGGGAGCAAACA
rnacentral:rRNA from 1 species